GGGGGCUGUAGGCGCUGCGGCGCUGCGCUGUUAUGCGUCGUAUUGACGCUACCAAUUACGUUGCCAGCCUAUAAAACGGCGGUCUCCGCUCACUAGCAUCUGCUACUGCCACGGACACUGGAAGCACUCCAUCUAUGAGUGCAUGGGACUCUGCCUUCAUUGCAGACCGUAUCCCUCAACACCUACCAGCACCCAGGGUGUUUGCAUUGUAUAUGCACCUUGAUGAUCCAGCUGUCCUUAUACCUUAUGAUAGUUGCCCCAGAAUUGUAUUCAAUUCCUUUCUCUGAAUUUCAGCUGCCAUAUUGAGGCCAAACUGUUUCAUCUUGUCUUUGAUUGGGCUACCUCACUAGGUCGUAUGCAGUACUUUGGAGCUUUGUCUUUGAGACGAUCAAGUCCUAAAACCCCUGAAGAAGCCUAAGGGCGAAACUAGUAGGGUAGACUUGUUCAAGAGAAAAAAUAAUUGUCUCCAUAAUUAGCUCCCACAAAUGAAUGUUACUAAUUUAUUUUAAACUUUGUAUAAAUUGAAUAAAAUUUUCUAUUUUUGAUAUAA